AGUUUGAAGUUCGCAGCCUGAUUUACUAGGCUGGCGGCUGGCGGUUUUUUUAAUCGCCAGCCU
rnacentral:sRNA from 1 species